rnacentral:rRNA from 1 species
UACGUAGGGUGCGAGCGUUAAUCGGAAUUACUGGGCGUAAAGCGUGCGCAGGCGGUUUUGUAAGUCUGUCGUGAAAUCCCUGAGCUCAACUUAGGAACUGCGUUUGAAACUACAAGACUAGAAUAUGUCAGAGGGGGGUAGAAUUCCACGUGUAGCAGUGAAAUGCGUAGAGAUGUGGAGGAAUACCAAUGGCGAAGGCAGCCCCCUGGGAUAAUAUUGACGCUCAUGCACGAAAGCGUGGGGAGCAAACAGG